UACGUAGGGGGCAAGCGUUGUCCGGAAUCAUUGGGCGUAAAGAGCGCGUAGGCGGCCCUGUAAGUCCGCUGUGAAAGUCAAGGGCUCAACCCGUGGAUGCCGGUGGAUACUGCAGGGCUAGAGUCCGGAAGAGGCGAGUGGAAUUCCUGGUGUAGCGGUGAAAUGCGCAGAUAUCAGGAGGAACACCGGUGGCGAAGGCGGUUCUCUGGGAAUGUCCUGACGCUGAGGAGCGAAAGUGUGGGGAGCGAACAGG
rnacentral:rRNA from 1 species